rnacentral:rRNA from 1 species
CUACGGGGGGCUGCAGUGAGGAAUAUUGGUCAAUGGCCGAGAGGCUGAACCAGCCAUCCCGCGUGCAGGAUGACGGCCCUAUGGGUUGUAAACUGCUUUUCUACGCCAAGAAAUCUGAUUACGUGUAAUUAGUUGACGGUAGCGUAGGAAUAAGCAUCGGCUAACUCCGUGCCAGCAGCCGCGGUAAUACGGAGGAUGCAAGCGUUAUCGGGAUUCAUUGGGUUUAAAGGGUGCGCAGGCGGGCUUGUAAGUCAGUGGUGAAAUACUGCCGCUUAACGGUAGAACUGCCAUUGAUACUGCAAAUCUUGAAUAUGGUUGAGGUAGGCGGAAUGUGUUGUGUAGCGGUGAAAUGCAUAGAUAUGACACAGAACGCCGAUUGCGAAGGUAGCUUACUAAGCCAUUAUUGACGCUGAGGCACGAAAGCGUGGGGAGCGAACAGGAUUAGAUACCCGCGUAGUC